rnacentral:rRNA from 1 species
GUGUAGGGGUAGAGCACUGAUCGGGUGUCUCGUGAGCAAUCGCGAGCAUCUAGUCAAACUCCGAAUACUAUGCAGUGUUUCAUGGCACUCAGCACCUGGGAGCUAAGUUCCAGGAGCAAAAGGAAAACAAACCAGACCUACAGCUAAGGUCUCAAAGUACAAGUUUAGUGGAAAAGGAAGUUCAUAUCCAAAGACACCUAGGAGGUCGGCUUAGAAGCAGCCAUCCUUUAAAGAAAGCGUAACAGCUCACUAGCCGCAGGAUAUGUGCGCCGAAAAUUCAACGAGGCUCAAACUUGUCACCGAAGCUUAGGGUUUCAUCAAUUUAUUGAUGGAGCGGUAAGGGAGCGUUCUGUGUGCGUUGAAGGUACCCCGUGAGGAGGUGCUGGAGCGAUCAGAAGUGAGAAUGCCGGCAUGAGUAGCGAAAUUGGGGUGAGAAUCCCCGACUCCGAAUGACCAAGGUUUCCGCACCCACGUUCGUCGUGUGCGGGUUAGGCGACCCUAAGGUGAGCCCCGUUAAUCGGGGGUAGCCGAUGGAUUACCGGUUAAUAUUCCGGUCCUUGGUAUGAUUCGUUUGACUUGGGGAGGGACGGUGAUGGAUACCGCGUAUGUACAUGUGAAUUGUGCAUCAAAGCAACAAAGCAGUCUGGAUAGGCAAAUCCGUUCAGGCGUUUAUCUGAGUUGUGAUAGGUCGAGAAUCCGAAAGGAGUCUUGAUACGUGAGAUUUCAGCACCCUGGAAAAGCUUCGCAAGGAGAAUCAUAUUAAAUCGUACCUAUAACCGACACAGGUGGUCAAGUCGAGAAGACUAAGGGAAGCGAGAGACACUAGUUUAAGGAACUCGGCAAAUCAACUGGGCGUACUCUAGAAAGAUGCCCUCCCUAUCGCAAGAUAGGGCGCAGUGAAUGACGUAGGAUUGACUGUUUACCAAAAACACAGGUCUGUGCAAACUCGUAAGAGGAAAUAUACGGGCUGAGGCCUGCCCAGUGCUGGAAGGUUAAGUGCGAGGGUUCUUGUCGCAAGACAAGUUGCCUUCAAUCGAAGCCCCAGUGAACGGCAGCAGUAACUAUAACUGUUCUAUGGUAGCGAAAUUCCUUGUCGCUUAAUUGGUGACCCGCAUGAAAGGUUUAACAAGUCUUACACUGUCUUAAACUAGUACUCGGCGAAAUUGAAAUGGCUGUGAAGAUGCGGCCUACUGACACCAGGACAAAAAGACCCCGUGAAGCUUUACUACAACUUGACACUGAUGUUGUAUAAGGAUUUGUUUAGCAUAGGUGGGAGCUCCCUCAUUUAGUGAUGGGGCAACAGUGAAAUACCACUCGAUUCUUAUACGACAUCUCACCCAACUGUACUGCAAACGUACAGGGGGACACUGUUUGGUGGGUAGUUUAACUGGGGAGGUUGCUUGCUAAAGAGUAACGCAAGCGCGCAAUGGUACCCUUGGCCCGGAUGGAAAUCGGGCUGGACGUGCAAUAGCAUAAGGGUGCUUAACUGUGAGGCAUACAAGCCGAUCAGAUGCGAAAGCAGGUUAUAGUGAUCCUCGUGCCCUUUGUGGAAAGGGCCGGGCUUAUCGGAUAAAAGCUACUCCGGGGAUAACAGAGUUAUCGCGCCUAAGCGUCCCUAGCGUCGGCGCGGUUUGCUACCUCGAUGUCGGCUCAUCGCAUCCUGGGGCUGAAGAAGGUCCCAAGGGUUUGGCUGUUCGCCAAUUAAAGCGGUACGCGAGCUGGGUUCAGACCGUCGUGAGACAGGUCGGCCUCUAUCCGGUGUCAGCGUUGGAAGGUUGAGAGAAUUUGCCCCUAGUACGAGAGGACCGGGGUGAGGUGAUCCCUAGUGUUCCUGUUGUUGCUGUCAAGCGCAUUGCAGGGUAGCUACAUCAUUUUUGGAUAACCGCUGAAAGCAUCUAAGCGGGAAGCCAUCCUCAAGAUUAACCGUCCCCAUUAGACCCGUGGAAGACUACCACGUUGAUAGGCAGCAAGUGCAAGUUUGGUAACAGAUUUAGCUUAGCUGUACUAAGUGUCAAUUGAACAUCUAUU